AGAAAAUUUUCAACGGUGGAUAUCUAGGUUCCCGUGACGAUGAAGAACGCAGCGAAAUGCGAUACGCAAUGCGAAUUGCAGAAUCCGCGAGUCAUCAGAUCUUUGAACGCAAGUGGUGGAGGCUAAAACCUUCAUGUUUGUAUCAGUGUGGA
rnacentral:rRNA from 1 species